rnacentral:rRNA from 1 species
UACUAACUCUGGCGGCGUGCUUAACACAUGCAAGUCGAACGGAAAGGCCCUGCUUUUGUGGGGUGCUCGAGUGGCGAACGGGUGAGUAACACGUGAGUAACCUGCCCUUGACUUUGGGAUAACUUCAGGAAACUGGGGCUAAUACCGGAUAGGAGCUCCUGCUGCAUGGUGGGGGUUGGAAAGUCUCGGCGGUUGGGGAUGGACUCGCGGCUUCUGAGCUUGUUGGUGGGGUAGUGGCUUACCAAGGCUUCGACGGGUAGCCGGCCGGAGAGGGUGAUCGGCCACAUGAGGGCUACGGAACGGCCCAGACGCCUACGGGAGGCAGCAGGAGGGAAUAUUGCACAGUGGUCGGAAGCCUGAUGCAGCAGCGCUGCGUGGGGAAUGACGGCCUUCGGGGUGUAAACCGCUUUCGCCUGUGACGAAGCGUGAGUGACGGUAACUGAUGAAUAAGCACCGGCUAACUACGUG